rnacentral:rRNA from 1 species
GACGAACGCUGGCGGCGUGCUUAACACAUGCAAGUCGAACGGAAAGGCCCUGCUUUUGUGGGGUGCUCGAGUGGCGAACGGGUGAGUAACACGUGAGUAACCUGCCCUUGACUUUGGGAUAACUUCAGGAAACUGGGGCUAAUACCGGAUAGGAGCUCCUGCUGCAUGGUGGGGGUUGGAAAGUUUCGGCGGUUGGGGAUGGACUCGCGGCUUAUCAGCUUGUUGGUGGGGUAGUGGCUUACCAAGGCUUUGACGGGUAGCCGGCCUGAGAGGGUGACCGGCCACAUUGGGACUGAGAUACGGCCCAGACUCCUACGGGAGGCAGCAGUGGGGAAUAUUGCACAAUGGGCGGAAGCCUGAUGCAGCAACGCCGCGUGCGGGAUGACGGCCUUCGGGUUGUAAACCGCUUUCGCCUGUGACGAAGCGUGAGUGACGGUAAUGGGUAAAGAAGCACCGGCUAACUACGUGCCAGCAGCCGCGGUGAUACGUAGGGUGCGAGCGUUGUCCGGAUUUAUUGGGCGUAAAGGGCUCGUGGGUGGUUGAUCGCGUCGGAAGUGUAAUCUUGGGGCUUAACCCUGAGCGUGCUUUCGAUACGGGUUGACUUGAGGAAGGUAGGGGAGAAUGGAAUUCCUGGUGGAGCGGUGGAAUGCGCAGAUAUCAGGAGGAACACCAGUGGCGAAGGCGGUUCUCUGGGCCUUUCCUGACGCUGAGGAGCGAAAGCGUGGGGAGCGAACAGGCUUAGAUACCCUGGUAGUCCACGCUGUAAACGGUGGGUACUAGGUGUGGGGUCCAUUCCACGGGUUCCGCGCCGUAGCUAACGCUUUAAGUACCCCGCCUGGGGAGUACGGCCGCAAGGCUAAAACUCAAAGGAAUUGACGGGGCCCCGCACAAGCGGCGGAGCAUGCGGAUUAAUUCGAUGCAACGCGUAGAACCUUACCUGGGUUUGACAUGGAUCGGGAGUGCUCAGAGAUGGGUGUGCCUCUUUUGGGGUCGGUUCACAGGUGGUGCAUGGCUGUCGUCAGCUCGUGUCGUGAGAUGUUGGGUUAAGUCCCGCAACGAGCGCAACCCUUAAGCUUAGUUGCCAUCAUUAAGUUGGGCACUCUAAGUUGACUGCCGGUGACAAACCGGAGGAAGGUGGGGAUGACGUCAAAUCAUCAUGCCCCUUAUGAUUUGGGCUACACACGUGCUACAAUGGACAAUACAAAGGGCAGCGAAACCGCGAGGUCAAGCAAAUCCCAUAAAGUUGUUCUCAGCUCGGAUUGUAGUCUGCAACUCGACUAUAUGAAGCUGGAAUCGCUAGUAAUCGUAGAUCAGCAACGCUGCGGUGAAUACGUUCCCGGGGCU